rnacentral:lncRNA from 1 species
AGCAGUUAGCCAUGGCCCUUGGUCCUGGGCGAUGUGAGACAUAAAUUGUAUGCGGGGAGGUGAGACACGGAUUGAAUGAGGGAAGUUGCGGGAUUGAAAUUUGUCCCACAUAAAAACCAAGUUCAUCUCUCUCUCUCUAAACCAAGUUCACCUCCCUGUGUGUGUGUGUAAGGUAAAUCCUAAAGAGCAUGCUCAUGAUAGGUCACUAAGCCACUCGAGGUAACCCCAUAUGUGUGUGGGCACAGUGGGUUCAUAUUAGAUGUAUAUACGUGCAUAUUUACA